rnacentral:misc_RNA from 1 species
AUCAACAGGAAUUGAGAAAUGCUGAAUCAGUGACAAAAAUAUUGAGCCCCCCAUUGAACCUAGCACGAAAAAGGUCGAGAAUCGCACAUAAUUCUUCAAGAAGUUGUUGAACUUGUAGUAGUACAAGAGAACCAGAAGAAAAGUGAAGACGGCAAUAACAAUAACAAACACCAGCGCAUUAAGUAGAGCACCUUCCAGUUUCUGGGAAGCCGAGUCGGAGGGGUUCUCUACGUAGACAAGGUUGGCAGGGGUGCGGAUCGGCGGG